rnacentral:rRNA from 1 species
CACUCCUGCGGGAGGCAGCAGUGGGGAAUUUUGGACAAUGGGCGAAAGCCUGAUCCAGCAAUGCCGCGUGAGUGAAGAAGGCCUUCGGGUUGUAAAGCUCUUUUGUCAGGGAAGAAACGGUGAGAGCUAAUAUCUUUUGCUAAUGACGGUACCUGAAGAAUAAGCACCGGCUAACUACGUGCCAGCAGCCGCGGUAAUACGUAGGGUGCAAGCGUUAAUCGGAAUUACUGGGCGUAAAGCGUGCGCAGGCGGUUUUGUAAGUCUGAUGUGAAAUCCCCGGGCUCAACCUGGGAAUUGCAUUGGAGACUGCAAGGCUAGAAUCUGGCAGAGGGGGGUAGAAUUCCACGUGUAGCAGUGAAAUGCGUAGAUAUGUGGAGGAACACCGAUGGCGAAGGCAGCCCCCUGGGUCAAGAUUGACGCUCAUGCACGAAAGCGUGGGGAGCAAACAGGAUUAGAUACCCGAGUAGUCCCA